GCCGGAGCCACGCUGCAGCUGUCGAGCGAGGCUCCUGGAUGCACUGAGACUCCGAGUGAGGGGCAGAGCCGGGGGAACCAAAUGGAGACUAGCCAGACUACUGAGGGAGCUGAUGAGGGUGACUGGUUUUGUGGAUGGGGGAAAUGCAGUGGACAUAAUAUACCUGGACUUCAGCAAGACUUUUGACAGAGUUCCACAUGACAGUCUGACAAGUAAGCUGCAGAAAUGCAGGCUCAACAGAACUACCAUUAAGUGGAUAGAGAAUUAGUUAAACAACCUCAAACAAAGAUCAGAGGGGUAGCCGUGUUAGUCUGGAUCUG